rnacentral:lncRNA from 1 species
GGGCAUUACCACCCCAAAUUUGGUUAUUUGGGGCCAAAACCCCAUUUUAGCCCUUAUAUGUUAGCUUCUUUUGUUACAUUGUGCCACAGAUAUAUUCUGGAUUUGAGCAUCAUACUGCAAUCUACAUUCGUUCACGAGAGUUUCCUGAUUGGAUUAAUGAAUCACCCUACUGGAUUGGUCAAUCAAGUAAGUUUAGGUCCAUGAUGACUUUAGAUUUGCCGGCAAAUGUUUCACAGAAUUUUUUGGCAAUGAUUCUUUGCUUUCAAAAUUUGGGAACUAUCCAAGAUCAUCCUAUCUUUUAUUCUGUCAAGAACAACACACAAGAUUUCACAGUGGAGAAGAGUUAUAUUAGUAAUUACCAUGAAGUACAGAUUGUUAUAGUGCCAAAAUCAAUCUUCCCGAUCAGAGAUGGAGAUGAUAGAGUUGAAAUAUCGACAACGAGGGGAGAAAUUUUUGGGAUCCAUCUACUGCAUGAAACAGAUAUUAUGAUGAUUGAUGAUUACAACCAGUGGCGGAGCGAGGUAGAGACCUCUGGGUGCACGUGCCCCCU